rnacentral:rRNA from 1 species
AUGAUCGCGUUGCGGUCGAGGUCCAAGAUCGCUGCCGCCGAGGUCCAAGAUCGCCGCCAUCGACCUCUGAGAUCGACAUCCCUCUCUAUUUCUGGUUCGCCGGCCUCUCUCCCUUUUACCAAUAACUCUCUUUUGUGCGCGUGCAUCGCUGCCGGCGUCCACUACCGGCCGCCUCCGCCGUCGAUUGGUGCCCCCAUGGCGCUACUGACUCCGACGAGAUCUCCUAUUUCCAACAUAUGCAGCCGCCUCGCUGUUCUGGCCCCAUGUGCGGACCCGUGGCUAACCCUAGCCAUCUCUAUCUCCGACGGUGAUGCCUCCUCUUCCUCUUGCAGCCCCGCCCUCGUCCUUGCUGGUGCUCCACAUGUAUAUCCGACGGUGACGGCGACCGACGGGCUGUGGGUCUACCAGAAGGCGCGGCAGGCGACAGCGCAAGGCCGCUCGCAGCAGGGCGCGUGGUCGAUGCGUGCGGGUGGUAGCCGGCGAGGACAUGUUGAUGUUCAUCCGGGGCACACGGUGCUCCUCUACGGCUGGGUCAUCGUUCCCGCGCUGAGCAAGUUCUCCAUCUCCUCGGGCGGCGGCUGCGGGGAGCCGUCGCAGCUGCAGCGGAUGGGCGCAGGCCGCGUCCUCAUGGCGAUCUCCAUGGCGAUCGCGGCCGUCGUGGAGACGAGCCGCCUCGCCAGCACGGAUCGUGGGCUUCGCUGCCAUGGAAUGGCGCCUCUGAUUUCUCAGGUAGAUGAGCUCGGAUUCAUGGAUGCUAUGUCCAUACAGCAAACUGAGUGCUUCAAAGAAGAUGAGGUCAAGAAGGUGGCUACGCAAAUGAUCACAAAGAGAAGACUACCGCUGGGUUGCUUUGGUUUACAAGGAGGAGAGGCUGAGGCUGAUGCUUCUAGAGUUGGUGUACGUUGUGUAGAGAGAGGUGAGGAUCUCACUCCAGUAUCUUGGGAGCAAAGCAGAAAGGAGUUCAGUGCGAAGGAGAAUAGGAGGGAGGAGAGAUCUGGACGCACCAAGACAAACAAGCGAGCUGAUCAUGCCGCCAACCUUGUUCUGUGCGGCUCGCUGGAGCUAGACGAUGAGUCCUUGCCUGCCUCCGGCCCUCCUAACAAUUGCUGUGAACCCUGUUAUGCGCCCUUGGCUGAUCAGCCAAUCUUACUAUACCUUUCCCCCUCCCGGUUCAUCAUGCUCAGGUCCUAG